rnacentral:rRNA from 1 species
UCGUUAGUGCGAUUGAUUUUGCGGCCGCCGUUCGCUCUUGUGCCAGCCGCCGCGGGAUUCCGGCUCGAUAGCGUAUAUUAAAGUUGUUGUGGUUAAAAAGCUCGUAGUUGAACCUUGGGCCUGGCUGGCCGGUCCGCCUCACCGCGUGCACUGGUCCGGCCGGGCCUUUCCCUCUGUGGAACCCCAUACCCUUCACUGGGCGUGGCGGGGAAACAGGACAUUUACUUUGAAAAAAUUAGAGUGCUCCAGGCAGGCCUAUGCUCGAAUACAUUAGCAUGGAAUAAUAAAAUAAGACGCGCGGUUCUAUUUUGUUGGUUUAUAGGACCGCCGUAAUGAUUAAUAGGGACAGUCGGGGGCAUCAGUAUUCAACUGUCAGAGGUGAAAUUCUUGGAUCAGUUGAAGACUAACUACUGCGAAAGCAUUUGCCAAGGAUGUUUUCAUUAAUCAGGAACGAAAGUUAGGGGAUCGAAGACGAUCAGAUACCGUCGUAGUCUUAACCAUAAACUAUGCCGACUAGGGAUCGGACGGUGUUAUUCAUGACCCGUUCGGCACCUUACGAGAAAUCAAAGUGCUUGGGCUUCUCUGGACAGAAAAGACGCAAGGCUGAAACUUAAAGAAAUUGACGGAAGGGCACCACCAGGGGUGGAGCCUGCGGCUUAAUUUGACUCAACACGGGGAAACUCACCAGGUCCAGACACAAUGAGGAUUGACAGAUUGAGAGCUCUUUCUUGAUUUUGUGGUGGUGCUGCAUGACCGUUCUUAGUUGGUGGGGUGACUUGUCUGCUUAAUUGCGAUAACGAACGAGACCUUAGCUGCUAAAUAGCCCGCAUUGCUCCGGGCAGUGCGCUGGCUCCUUAAGAGGGACUUUCGGCUUC